rnacentral:rRNA from 1 species
AGCAGCCGCGGUAAUUCCAGCUCCAAUAGCGUAUAUUAAAGUUGUUGCAGUUAAAAAGCUCGUAGUUGAAUUUCGGGGUCAGUAGGCUGGUCGUGCCACCGGUACGUACUGGUCUCACUGAUUCCUCCUUCCUGAAGAACCGUAAUGCCAUUAAUUUGGUGUUGCGGGGAAACAGGACUGUUACUUUGAAAAAAUUAGAGUGUUUAAAGCAGGCUAACGCUUGAAUACAUUAGCAUGGAAUAAUGAAAUAGGACGAUCGAUCCUAUUUUGUUGGUUUCUAGGAUUGACGUAAUGAUUAAUAGGGAUAGUUGGGGGCAUUAGUAUUCAAUUGUCAGAGGUGAAAUUCUUGGAUUUAUUGAAGACUAACUACUGCGAAAGCAUUUGCCAAGGAUGUUUUCAUUAAUCAAGAACGAAAGUUAGGGGAAUCGAAGACGAUCAGAUACCGUCGUAGUCUUAACCAUAAACUAUGCCGACUAGGGAUCGGAUGAUGUUAAUUUUAUAAUGACUCGUUCGGCGCCUU